rnacentral:rRNA from 1 species
UCGAACGCUUCUUUCCUCCCGAGUGCUUGCACUCAAUUGGAAAGAGGAGUGGCGGACGGGUGAGUAACACGUGGGUAACCUACCCAUCAGAGGGGGAUAACACUUGGAAACAGGUGCUAAUACCGCAUAACAGUUUAUGCCGCAUGGCAUAAGAGUGAAAGGCGCUUUCGGGUGUCGCUGAUGGAUGGACCCGCGGUGCAUUAGCUAGUAGGUGAGGUAACGGCUCACCAAGGCCACGAUGCAUAGCCGACCUGAGAGGGUGAUCGGCCACACUGGGACUGAGACACGGCCCAGACUCCUACGGGAGGCAGCAGUAGGGAAUCUUCGGCAAUGGACGAAAGUCUGACCGAGCAACGCCGCGUGAGUGAAGAAGGUUUUCGGAUCGUAAAACUCUGUUGUUAGAGAAGAACAAGGACGUUAGUAACUGAACGUCCCCUGACGGUAUCUAACCAGAAAGCCACGGCUAACUACGUGCCAGCAGCCGCGGUAAUACGUAGGUGGCAAGCGUUAUCCGGAUUUAUUGGGCGUAAAGGGAACGCAGGCGGUCUUUUAAGUCUGAUGUGAAAGCCUUCGGCUUAACCGGAGUAGUGCAUUGGAAACUGGGAGACUUGAGUGCAGAAGAGGAGAGUGGAACUCCAUGUGUAGCGGUGAAAUGCGUAGAUAUAUGGAAGAACACCAGUGGCGAAAGCGGCUCUC